rnacentral:rRNA from 1 species
GUCCACGCUGUAAAACGAUGAGCACUAGGUGUCGCGGGUAUUGACCCCUGCGGUGCCGACGCUAACGCAUUAAGUGCUCCGCCUGGGGAGUACGGUCGCAAGAUUAAAACUCAAAGGAAUUGACGGGGGCCCGCACAAGCGGUGGAGCAUGUGGUUCAAUUCGACGCAACGCGCAGAACCUUACCCGGGCUAGACAACGGUGGACCGCCCCCAGAGAUGGGGCUUUCCCUUCGGGGACCGCCGGUUCAGGUGCUGCAUGGCUGUCGU